GUGAUAUACUAAUAUCAUCAAGGUUAAGUUACCAUCAUAAGUUAAGAUCAUACCAUCUCUUUAAAGUGAUUGUGUGUUUUUUAUUUAACCCCUAAUGGGUUGUGAUUUUUUGCCAAAUUAGGACUUUUUUGUACCCAUGUCAAAAUGAAAUUCUUCUCUUUGCUUGUGCGUAUCUAUCUAUUCAAAAAAUGCUAGGGGUUGGGAAUGUAUUUCAGUGGUAAAGCACUUGCCUAGGGGGCUGGGAUUAAAGUGGUAGAGUGCUUGCCCUGCAUGCAGGAGGCGCAGGGUUCAGUAUAGACAGACAGACAGACAGAUACACACACACACACACACACAAUGCCAUAUUUCUUUAGAACUGAAACAUUAGAUGUAUAUAAUCCAUGAGUCUUUCUUUGGUUAGAUCUUCCAAUUCUUUCAUCUAUUUAAUUCAUUUCUACUAUAUUUCCCCAUGAACUAAAUUUUAGACAAGUUCUUUGAACUAAAUUCAGUUAGGAAUUGAAACCCUAAGCAAUCAGAGAAAGAAAGUCAGAUUCUUAAUCAUGAGCUAGAACCCAUGGGUUUAAAAUAAACUAGUAUCAAUUACCUCCAUUUUCUCUCUUUUAUCACUUUCUCUGGUGUCCCUUUGCUCUUUGGCUGGCUCUGUUUCCCUGGUUCUAGAUGUUGGUUUCCUUCUUUGGUCCAUGUGGCCAUUCUAGGGAGCAGAAGUUUGACUAGGUCUAUUGGAAUUCUGAAUGCCUUGAGUUCCUCUGCCCUUUUAUAUGAGAUUUUGAAAUGGAGUAAGUCAAUCAGUCACCUGUUUUAACUGUUCUAAGCCAGGGACCUUGCCCAGAUGUCUAGUUCCUAUAUUUUCAAAGUAGUGCUUACAUACCACACUUUUGCAUUGUAUCCUUGAUAAUUUUAUGGUAUUUGCAUAAGUGCACAAAAUCACAUUUCUUUUAUUCCUGGACUUCUAACAGUGCCUCCGUGCACCCUCUGUUGCUAACUGCAAACCAUAGAGUUUAAUGCUUCUCCCUUCCUUCCUAAGAAUCUAGUGCAUUGACAUUACCUUUGUCAUCCCUGUUGAUAUUGCUUAUUUAAGGGAAAUUAAUGUGCUGACU
rnacentral:lncRNA from 1 species